GGUGUCAGUGCGUGGCCUGUGAGGUCAAGUUAUCUAAGUGUGGGAAUACAAGCAACAUGUAUAAUCUGGGAGUCGCACAAACAAAUCUCCUUCAGAACAGACACAACAUUUUUAGGUUAAUUUGAUCAUGCAUGUAAACCCGAUAUUGACCAACUGUUACUCUUCCUUUGAAGACUGAAAUGCACAACAUGCACUGGAUUUCAUUCAAUACCUACUAAAGAAGAAAUUCACAAUUUGCGCAAAUUUAUUUCAACGUGUAGGUACAAUUCUAAGUGUUAUGUACAGAAGUAUAAAUAUUUAAGAAACUAGAAACUUAGCCUAUCCUUUCCAAAAACAUAGGGAACGUGUAAGAAAAUAUUGUAACUCGAUGUAUAAAGCGAAGGUAUUUUAUUACAUGGUAUCAGUUAUUUUAAAAUGAUCAUUGUCGAUUGUGGAGUAUGCAUGUCCUUCAUUGAUCAAGUUUUCCAGCGCAGCACUGCAACAAAAAAAGUGUGAAUGAAAAUUUGAGAUUAAAAAACAUUUAAACAGAA